rnacentral:tRNA from 1 species
GCGGAUGUGGCGGAAUUGGCAGACGCACUGGAUUUAGGUUCCAGCGGGCAACCGUGGGGGUUCAAGUCCCUCCAUCCGCA